rnacentral:rRNA from 1 species
AACGAACGCUGGCGGCAUGCCUAACACAUGCAAGUCGAACGAGACCUUCGGGUCUAGCGGCGCACGGGUGCGUAACGCGUGGGAACCUGCCCUUAGGUUCGGAAUAACUCCCCGAAAGGGGUGCUAAUACCGGAUAAUGUCUUCGGACCAAAGAUUUAUUGCCUUUGGAUGGGCCCGCGUUGGAUUAGCUAGUUGGUAGGGUAAAAGCCUACCAAGGCGACGAUCCAUAGCUGGUCUGAGAGGAUGAUCAGCCACACUGGGACUGAGACACGGCCCAGACUCCUACGGGAGGCAGCAGUGGGGAAUAUUGGACAAUGGGCGAAAGCCUAAUCCAGCAAUGCCGCGUGAGUGAUGAAGGCCUUAGGGUUGUAAAGCUCUGUUAACCGGGAUGAUAAUGACAGUACCGGGAGAAUAAGCUCCGGCUAACUCCGUG